rnacentral:rRNA from 1 species
UACGUAGGGUGCGAGCGUUGUCCGGAAUUAUUGGGCGUAAAGAGCUCGUAGGCGGUGUGUCACGUCGGCCGUGAAAACCUGGGGCUUAACUCUGGGCGUGCGGUCGAUACGGGCAUCACUAGAGUUCGGCAGGGGAGACUGGAAUUCCUGGUGUAGCGGUGGAAUGCGUAGAGAUCCGGAAGAACACCGGUGGCGAAGGCGGCCCGCUGGGCAACUGCUGACACUGAUGCGCGACAGCGUGGGGAGCAAACAGG